rnacentral:rRNA from 1 species
GAGGAAUAUUGGGCAAUGGGCGCAAGCCUGACCCAGCCAUGCCGCGUGAAGGAUGACGGCGCUAUGCGUUGUAAACUUCUUUUGUACGGGAAGAAACACUCCUACGUGUAGGGGCUUGACGGUACCGUACGAAUAAGCAUCGGCUAACUCCGUGCCAGCAGCCGCGGUAAUACGGAGGAUGCAAGCGUUAUCCGGAUUUAUUGGGUUUAAAGGGUGCGUAGGCGGAAAUUUAAGUCAGUGGUGAAAUCCUGCGGCUCAACCGUAGAACUGCCAUUGAUACUGAAUUUCUUGAAUGCAGUUGAGGUAGGCGGAAUGUGUAAUGUAGCGGUGAAAUGCUUAGAUAUUACACAGAACACCGAUUGCGAAGGCAGCUUACUAAACUGUGAUUGACGCUGAGGCACGAAAGCGUGGGGAUCGAAC